GCAAAAGGCCAAUCUUCACUUUUCUUUAUCUUCCAUUCAUUGGUUCGUUACUUCUUUGUCUACGCUAUUAAUAUAGUAAUUUUGAGACAGUAAUCCAGUUCUCAUAGGUCGAACACUUUUUUUUUUUUUUGAAGUUUCCAAUCAAAUUUUCUCGGUCACUUUCCUGCAUUUAUUCGAGAAAAAGAAAGAAGAAAGUAUGGAGAUGCUUGCAAAUGUGUUGUCUUUUUUUCUUCCCUGAGAGAGUGACUGGAAACGGCACAGUUUGAAAGCACUUUUCUUUUGGGGACAUCUUGUGGGGUGAAAAGCUAAGAUCUGUUUGAGAGGCUCUCAAGGGAUGAAUGUGUGUACUGUAAGCUCAAAAUAUUAUGCAAUUGUUGGCGUUGAAGGGUUUGAUGAAGUUGUUUAACCUUUUCCUUUAUGAGGAAUGUGAUUGCUUUUUGGAUUUUAUUAGUGAGUUCUGAUAAUUUUGAGGUUGGAUUGACAAUGUUGAGGAUUGGAAUGAGCUAAAGAGCUGAUAAAGUGAGUGAACUUUGGACUGUUUUGAGGUUUUCAAAAGAAAAAACUGAGAUCCCUUAAUAAUUAGUGUUGAUUUGAUAGAUUUCUUAACCUAUGUCUGGUGCUCCAAGAUUGAGGUCGAUGAAUGUGACCGAUUCUGAGGCAAGGCCUGUACUAGGACCUGCCGGAAACAAAGCUGGUUCGUUGAGUGCUAGAAAACCAGCUUCAAAGCCUUCGAAGAAGGUUGAAAAGUCUUCCGUUGAGGUGACUGUAGUAGAGGAGAAAAAGGCACUUCCAUCAUCAACUGUUAAUUCUCUUUCUCCAAAAACUCAUUCUCUGAGUGUUCCUUCAGUGCUACGCCGCCAUGAACGUCUAUUACAUUCUAGUUUAUCGCUAAAUGCCUCAUGUUCAUCGGAUGCUUCCACAGAUUCAUUUCAAAGUCGAGCAUCAACUGGUAGGUUAAGUCGUUGCGGUAGUUUAGGAAGUAGGAGGAAGCCAUAUGCAUCAAAGCCGAAAAGUCUUGUUUCUGAUGACAGUUUGGAUUUGUCAUCUAAUAGUUCACAUCAUAAGAAGAGAUGCACAUGGGUGACACCAAAUACAGAUCCAAGUUAUGCUGCUUUCCAUGACGAAGAGUGGGGAGUUCCUGUACAUGAUGACAAGAAACUGUUUGAGCUGCUUGUACUCUCGGGUUCAUUAUCUGAACUUACAUGGUCUGCUAUCCUAAGCAAAAGGCACAUAUUUAGAGAAGUUUUUAUGGAUUUUGAUCCUGUUGCUGUAUCAAAAUUGAAUGAGAAGAAGUUAAUAGCACAUGGUAGCGUGGCAAGUUCUUUGUUAUCAGAACUAAUGCUGCGAGCUAUUGUUGAGAAUGCACGCCAAAUAUCUAAGGUUAUAGAUGAGUUUCGGUCGUUCGACCAGUAUAUUUGGAGUUUUGUGAACCACAAGCCUAUAGUUAGCAGAUUCAGAUACCCUCGUCAGGUUCCAGUUAAGACCCCAAAAGCAGAUGUCAUAAGCAAAGAUCUCGUAAGAAGAGGUUUCCGAAGCGUUGGGCCGACAGUCAUCUACUCUUUCAUGCAAGUGGCGGGAAUAACAAACGACCAUCUCACAAGUUGUUUCAGAUUCCAGGAAUGUAUAACUGCAGCAGAAGCAAAAGAAGAAAAUGUAACCAAAGAUACGACUGAAAAGAAAGAAACUGUUAAUGUGAUCAACACAGAAUUGUCCGUAGCUAUCGAUGAAUUGAGUUUCUCCACCGAAUGACGCUGGGUGGUGGUAGAUGGCGUUCCAGGUUCGACCAUCAGUUUACCACAUUAAUUGAUUCAAUACACUUACUCUUGGGUAAUAACUUGAAAAAGUUCAGUAAGUAAAGAUCAUCUUUUACAUACCCGACACUGGCAUUGGUUGCUGCUGCCUAGAUUUGCCACUGGAUCUGUGGCCAUCAGUUUCUUUACCAUCAUAUUAUUAUGUGGGACUGGCUGAAGGUGUGGACUCAAACCUUGUAAGUUGCUGGACAGCUAAAACUUACAGUUGACAAAAGUCUGUUUGCUUUAAAUGAGCCGGGUAAAACAUUUUUGUGUCCUGAAGGAGUCCCAUCUUUACUACGCAUGCUUGUUUGUUGUGUUGGACCCAAUAUUACAAAUGCUGUAGGGUACCUCUGUUUCCUU